rnacentral:tRNA from 1 species
GCGCCUCUAGCUCAGUUGGUAGAGUGUAAGGCUCUUAACCUUGAGGUUGUGGGUUCGAGCCCCACCGUCGCU